rnacentral:tRNA from 1 species
GCAUUGGUGGUUCAGUGGUAGAAUUCUCACCUUCCAUGCGAGAGACCCUGGUUCGAUUCCGGGCCAAUGCA